rnacentral:rRNA from 1 species
GUGGGGAAUAUUGGACAAUGGGGGGAACCCUGAUCCAGCCAUGCCGCGUGUGUGAAGAAGGCCUUUUGGUAGUAAAGCACUUUAAGCGAGGAGGAGGCUACCGAGAUUAAUACUCUUGGAUAGUGGACGUUACUCGCAGAAUAAGCACCGGCUAACUCUGUGCCAGCAGCCGCGGUAAUACAGAGGGUGCGAGCGUUAAUCGGAUUUACUGGGCGUAAAGCGUGCGUAGGCGGCUUUUUAAGUCGGAUGUGAAAUCCCCGAGCUUAACUUGGGAAUUGCAUUCGAUACUGGGAAGCUAGAGUAUGGGAGAGGAUGGUAGAAUUCCAGGUGUAGCGGUGAAAUGCGUAGAGAUCUGGAGGAAUACCGAUGGCGAAGGCAGCCAUCUGGCCUAAUACUGACGCUGAGGUACGAAAGCAUGGGGAGCAAACAGGAUUAGAUACCCUGGUAGUCC